GCGGAUGUGGCGGAACUGGCAGACGCGCAUGGUUCAGGUCCAUGUUCCCGCAAGGGAGUGGGGGUUCAAGUCCCUUCAUCCGCACCA
rnacentral:tRNA from 1 species